GUGUCAGCCCUAAAGCCCAACAUCUCCUAGCCACAGUCAGACUGGGGCACUGGUAACUUCCCCACACUGCCCUGCUAACAUGCUUCAAGCCUGACCUGGAAGGACCGUUUCUAAGGAAAGAUAGGUCAUUUCCCAUACACAGUCGCUCCU
rnacentral:sRNA from 1 species